UACGAAGGGGGCUAGCGUUGCUCGGAAUCACUGGGCGUAAAGCGCACGUAGGCGGAUCGUUAAGUACCUUGUGAAAUCCCACGGCUCACCCGUGGAACUGCUGGGUAUACUGGCGGGCUUGGGCCAACUAGGGGCAGCUGGAACAAGCGGUGGAGCGGUGAAAUGCGUAGAUAUCGCUUGGAACGCCGAAGGUGAAAACAGGCUGCUGGGGUUGUGCCGACGCUGAGACACGAAAGCCAGGGGAGCAAACGGG
rnacentral:rRNA from 1 species